rnacentral:rRNA from 1 species
UACGAAGGGGGCUAGCGUUGUUCGGAAUUACUGGGCGUAAAGCGCGCGUAGGCGGAUGAUUAAGUCAGGGGUGAAAUCCCGGGGCUCAACCUCGGAACUGCCUUUGAUACUGGUCAUCUGGAGUACGGAAGAGGUGAGUGGAAUUCCGAGUGUAGAGGUGAAAUUCGUAGAUAUUCGGAGGAACACCAGAAGCGAAGGCGGCUCACUGGUCCGAUACUGACGCUGAGGCGCGAAAGCGUGGGGAGCAAACAGG